GACAGUCAUGCUCGAUUUUACGUAAUGAGCAAGAAUAUAUUUUAAUUUUUCAGUUUCGACCCCAUUUGGUCACCGAAAACUGUACCGAACUGUAAUCUUUAUCAGAUAGUUGUCGGAUUUUAUUUCUCACUCUACGGGUGUCAGAAAAAUAUGAAACUUUAAAUCUAGCCUCAUAAAAAUAUUUCUGACUUAUCCUCCAAUUUUCAUAAUUUUCUGAGACUGUGCAUUUUCUGCUAAUUUAUCUGUCCCGUUUCCAACAGAAAAUUCUAGAUCUUCUGUUUUCAUUCCGAUUUCAGCACAAGUCACUUCUGACUUAUGUUUUACUUCUAUAAAUCUAAUAAAAAUAGUUUCUCAUACUAUUUUUAUUUAUUCUUAUUUUUACACCAAAAUCUGGUAUGUUACAUCUGA
rnacentral:lncRNA from 1 species